GAGUUUGAUCGUGGCUCAGGACGAACGCUGGCGGCGUGCCUAACACAUGCAAGUCGAACGGAGAUGCUGAAUUUCGGUUUGGCAUCUUAGUGGCGCACGGGUGAGUAACGCGUGAACAACUUGACCUUCAGAGGGGGAUAACAGCGAGAAAUCGGUGCUAAUACCGCAUGAGACCACAAUUCCACAUGGAGAAGGGGUCAAAGGAGCAAUCCGCUGAAGGAGAGGUUCGCGUCCCAUUAGGUAGU
rnacentral:rRNA from 1 species